rnacentral:lncRNA from 1 species
AUCCUAAUGAUUCAGUUACGGUUUGUGAACUCCUGAAACUUCCUAAGAUGAAGUUCCAGAAUGUCCCACCUCGGAAAAACUCUAAAGAUAAGUGGAAACACAACAAUUACUAAUAAAAUAAUGCCAAUCAUAAUAGCAAGUAGGAUUAUAUAUUGAACCGGAUCCAGGGGAGUCAAUGCAUUUAGGUUGUUUUUUAAAUCUCUGGCCAAUUCAUCAAUGUUCCAAGUGUCCAAGUGACUUUUACUAAUAUCUGAAAUUUCUGCCUUUGUAGCCUUAAUAUUUGCUAUAUCCUGCCCUAUUGCUGAGACUACUACUUCUAAGACAUUAACCUUUGCCUCCAAUUUUUUAUCUAUAAUAAGUUGCUCUGACAAAGCUAUGGAAAUAUUCUUAUGCAUGUCAUUAACAAAAUGAGCAGUAUGCAGCUGCUGAUCUAAAGGUGUGGUAGAUAUUGAAGUUAAAAUUGCAAUUAAAGCAGUAAAUCCUAAAAUUGCUCAUUUGACCUUUUCCAAGUUUGCAUUCCCGGAUUUUUAAACCGGGGAUCAUUUCCUAACUCUAACAGGCAGCAAAACAUAAGCAGGUCUCUUUAACAAAACAAUAACAGCAGAUUCCGUAUCUAAAUUAGGAUCUACACAAUUAGUUAAUUAACAAGAAUUACAAUGAAUAUGAAAAGACUUGUCAAGAUUGGUGAUCUUAACUCUUAAAAUUAUCUAACAAUAGAGCAUAUAGGUACGGUUCACAAGCUUUCACAGCUAUAGAGGAGUUGGCGUGAAUGGCCAAAAACAGUGUCUCUGACGAAAUCUUGUCAAAUACACUGUAGCAGUCCCUCCACCUCAUGAGUCAUCAUUUUUAGUUGUCCCCAAGUUGACACCAGGGCGGCUCUCCUUGCUGUAGCCCAUGGUGGAGAUAGGAAGUUUCUUCGUCUUGUUUGCAAGUGGCUGCUCUCCCUGAUUUUUCUUUCUCUGUGCGCUCAACACAGCUUUCUUGUCACCACUGUCAGGACACUCAGGAACUCACAAGUCAUCCUAUCACAUGAAUCAUUCUGGAAGCUAGCAUGCUUCUGCAGCAUUCUGUGGAAAAAACAGAAACACCCCCUCUAUCCCCCAUAUUAAUUUUCUGUUCAGGAUCAUGUCAUGUGCCAAUAAGUGGAUUCUUUUCAUCUCACCUAGACAUGGUUAUGUCUAGUUUUAAGAUACUAUAAGGCAUUUAUUAAGUUCUUGGACAUCCAAAUUUCAAAAUUCUUAAAAAUAAAAGUAUGGUUUAAAUAACGUGCAUGGGGGUAUAAUUUCCCUCUUCUUUGUUUUUUUAAGAAGAUAGAAUUUUUAAAGUUCCAUAAUACCUUGUCUUUGAGAAUUAUUAAAUGUUGACAAACAAUCUCAAAUACUUGACUUUUAUAGUCAGUUUUAAUAUAAUGUGGGCAGUGACUAAUUACACUUUUUAUUGUUUCUCCUGAAGAGCAGUUGUAACUAGUAUGCUUGAAAAGUUAUUAUAGUCACAUGUGUAUAAUUUAUUUAUUUAUUAAUCAGAAAUAAGAGCAUUCAUUUGCAGCAAUUGAUUAAGUAUAGGUCCUCAAGAAUUAAUACCAUUAUGUGGAAACAGGUAGGAACUGAGGACAGCAGAGCAAUUUUUUUUUUUUACAGUUUGACAUGUACCUUCUCUAAAAAUACCAAAACAUUAUCUUAAACCAUUACUAUUUUGAAUAUGUAAAGAACGAGAUUAUAUAGCCAAUCCUUCUUAUGUAACACCUGUAGUCUGCCUGAGAUAUAAAUC